UCGAGGAUCUUUCGCAAUGGGCGCAAGCCUGACGAAGCGACGCCGUGUGAGUGAAGAAGGCCUUAGGGUUGUAAAACUCUUUCGCUUGGGAACAAGAGAAGCCGAAGAAUAUUCGGUGUAUUUGAGGGUACCAGGUAAAGAAGCACCGGCUAACUCCGUGCCAGCAGCUGCGGUAAUACGGAGGGUGCAAGCAUUAAUCGGAUUUACUGGGCGUAAAGGGCGCGUAGGCGGUUAUACAAGUCAGCUGUGAAAUAUCUGGGCUCAACCCGGAGACUGCAGGUGAGACUGUAUAGCUAGAGGGUAAGUGGGGAAAAUGGAAUUCCACGUGUAGCGGUGAAAUGCGUAGAUAUGUGGAAGAACACCGGAGGCGAAGGCGGUUUUCCAAUUUAUUCCUGACGCUGAGGCGCGAAAGCAAGGGGAGCAAACA
rnacentral:rRNA from 1 species